rnacentral:lncRNA from 1 species
GGUUUUCUUUCUGCAGAGCUGGGAGCUGGCAGGGGGGGAUUUGUCUCAAAUCGAGCUGUGUGUGCAUUUUGGGUUGCCAGGCAGGUUCUCCCAGAGUGAUCACAGCUCGGGGCAGCUGAGCACAGCUGCAGAGCUGAGCAAACUUUGGGGGAAAUUCCUCUUUUUUUGGGGGGUCAGCAUCUUCUACUCUGCACCAGCAGCCCCCUUGUCUCACUUUAGGUCUCCCAUUAUUGUUCUAAAAGCUCUGAGAUGGUCCCCAGAGGCGAAAAUAGGAAUUGAAGGAAGGAUAAAAUGCUGAUCUGGAGCUGCUCAUGCCCCUCGGGAGGUACACAAACAUCCACUUGGAAUGGGGCCCAUCUGGAUAACAGCAAGAAUUGUUCAGGAGCAAAAUCUGGAGAGCAAUUAGGCAGUGGCAAUCCAGCACAGACAGAGAGAAUUGUCCCGAAAAAGGAACAUUCCCAGAGGCAGAAAAUCUGCAGCUCUUCGGGAUAAAGGAUUUGAAGGGGAUACAGACUCCUGCCUUGGAGAGAGAAGCUCAGAAAAGUUGCCCUGAAGACUCACUUUCAUUCCAGAGGGAAUUUUUCUGUCCACAGCAGCUUUUUGAUGCAAGGGAAUGACCUGGAAUAAUUUCUUGCCUGGCCACAGUGGCACUGACACACUCAAACUGCAGCCCUGGGUGGUGGCACCCAUCAGUGGCAAUGUGGUGGCAGUAACAGAGGGAAAAAUGUCCUCAAUUCUGCUCUAGAAUGAAAAGAUCCAGCCUUGCAGCUAAGAAAACCCCUGCCAGGAAAAAAAAUUAAAAAAAAAAAAUUAAAGAUCAUUUGAAACCAUUAAAGACCAUUUAAAGCAUUUUUAC